CAGAUCUCCAUUCGAUACUGUAAUUGGAGAGAGCGUCCUUUGACAUCAGAUGCUGCAGAAAGUGCUGGCAUGAACUUCAAGAUCUUUAUCGUUAAAUGUGAGAGAAGUUCCUUUAGCCAGUUCGGAUUCCGGAGCAUCAUCUUGUUCUGAUGGUGAAUCAUUCUAAUGGUGAAUAAGCGACUCUUGAUAGUCGGUGUGAAGCUCCCAACAGACCCAAAAACAGCACAAGCGGCUUCUUCAGUGUGAUCUCCUGUAAGUAUUGACGGGAAUUUGACUUUUCAUCUGCAAGGACAUGUGUAUUCAUGGCGGCGCUGAGGUUGAAGACCAAAACAUGGAAUUAAUGCUGUAUUUUCUCUGCUAGGCGGAUCUCUUGGUACUUAACUUUGCAGGGUUGUUGUGCUUCUUUAGCUUGUAAUGCUCUGUCAAGAGGACAACGGCUCCAGGAUUUUCUCAUCGAACUUGCUUCUCAGACAGCAUAUGAUGCCGUGUUUUCCUAUGAUUUAUCACUGCACUAGGCAUAUAUGAUCUUGUAGAAAAAUUAAACGUGUAGAUGACGGCAUAUCAAUCUAAUAUCUUUCAU